UUUUCUACUCUGCUAUUUAAGCCAUCUAGGGUUUACUUCUCUCCUCAAAUCCCUCGUCUUACUUCCUCUUCCUUUCCUCCUGUGUUUUACGGGGUCUUAAGAGCCACCAACUCCAUAGAUCAUGGUUUAUACCGAUGAAAUGAUCAAUAACAGCAAGAUCCCUCGGUAUACUGAUUUCUCCUAGUAAACUGAACUAUGGAAUUGAUCUGAGAAUGAAUCAAGGACAGAAGGCCAUAUGAUCAGUGAUUUACCUGCCUCAUUUUCCACCCUUGUUCUGAUUUUUCCACUUUUUUUUGUUGUAUGUUUGACAAAUAUGAAAUCUUGUAGAUGGAGGAUUCCGUUUUAUAUGUCUGGAGUCUUUUUGUAACUUAGUAACACAUUCCUCUUGAGUAUAGGACAAAAAACUUAGGCUUAGAGCAAGAAACAAUUGUGGGUUUCAGUGACUUGCUCUGAUUUCACAUUUGUCCAAUGCAGGUUCAUGGGAGAGGGCAAACAAAAAAGGUGAAGGUAGCUGAUUUUAGGAGACGAGCUUCAGUAACUUGUUAUUAGUGUGUUUUAUUAGAGUACCCACAUCUGGUUACAGAGCUAUGCAGAAUCAAAUUUCGUCACCAGUGGAAACAACCUACUUUCAGGCUGAAUCAUGGGUUAACAGUGAUUGGAUCACCAGAUGACGAAACAAGUGAAUAGAAGGAACCAGAGGCUUGCUCUGCAAGGGGAAAAAUUUACAUCCCAAGCUAGAUUUGGACCUUCGACUGAUCCAGCUGGUAAGAGUUUGCACACCAAGUUGGAAGCUAGUAAAAAGAGAGCUGCGGCUAAGACAUUAGAAGAAGAAUCAAAGGCUAACAGCAAGCAGACAAACUAGCAACGAUGACGACGACGAGAACCAGAGAGCAGAACCAAUGCCUUUACCAAAAGAUACUGUUACCUGUUUCCUCGAGUUUGCAGGGCAAGAAUGAUCGAAGUAAAUAAGGUCUAAAAUUUUGCAGAUGAAAAUGUGAAGCAUUUUACAUGUGUUGUCUGGUAACAAAAACAUACUGUAUCACUGUUGAUUAUGCUUGGUUAAGCCACACAAUUAUUUCUCUUGUAAUUUAAAACCAAUGCAAUGUGUUCGAUUUUUCAGGAUUUCUGUACGGAACAAUUUUUGAAUUUGUGAAACUGAAUAAGAUCUUUCUGACACAUGAUAUGAAACAAUGCUUUGGAGUUUGGACUGGAACAAGAAGAUACAAUUGGGCAGGUGAUUUAAUGGAAUCUUUAUAGAGGAAAUAGUUUUUGCUGCAUGUAAAUGGUGAAUCAUACAUUUUAUGAGUGAAAAAUGGAGUAUUAAGAUUCU